AUCCAGUUGACGAGUCCCAAAUAGGACGACACUCGCAUCCUGGAU
rnacentral:hammerhead_ribozyme from 1 species